GUUUAAGUACAUACCUUAAAAAGGUGAAACCGCGAAUGGCUGAUUAAAUCAGCUAUGGUUCCUUAGAUCAUAUAUACUACAGGGAUAAUUGUAGUAAUUGUAGAGCUAAUACAUGCAAUUAUGCCCUGACCCGCAAGGGAACGGGUGCAUUUAUUAGAAGAGAACCAACGAACGUCUGCCCACAUGCUUUCAUAUCCCCUUCCCAUGAACUCCUCCCCCAUGUCAACCUCGCACUAACGACCAACUCACUGCUUCCCAUUCGGCUUUGACUCGAGCGAUGGCCUGGCGUGUGAUGUCACCUGAUGGUUUGUUUUCUCAG
rnacentral:ncRNA from 1 species